rnacentral:rRNA from 1 species
CAGUCGCCGCGGGAAUACGUAGGGUGCAAGCGUUAAUCGGAAUUACUGGGCGUAAAGCGUGCGCAGGCGGUUAUAUAAGACAGAUGUGAAAUCCCCGGGCUCAACCUGGGAACUGCAUUUGUGACUGUAUAGCUAGAGUACGGCAGAGGGGGAUGGAAUUCCGCGUGUAGCAGUGAAAUGCGUAGAUAUGCGGAGGAACACCGAUGGCGAAGGCAAUCCACUGGGCCUGUACUGACGCUCAUGCACGAAAGCGUGGGGAGCAAACAGGAUUAGAUACCCCUGUAGUCCCUGUCUCUUAUAC